rnacentral:rRNA from 1 species
ACAGGUGGUGGCAUGGUUGUCGUCAGCUCGUGUCGUGAGAUGUUGGGUUAAGUCCCGCAACGAGCGCAACCCUUGCCUUUAGUUGCCAGCACGUAAAGGUGGGCGACUCUAGAGGGACUGCCGGUGGACAAAGCCGGAGGAAGGUGGGGAUGACGUCAAAUCAUCAUGCCCCUUAUGAUCUGGGCUACACACGUGCUACAAUGGCCGGUACAACGAGAAGCGAAACCGCGAGGUGAAGCAAAUCUUUUAAAGCCGGUCCCAGUUCGGAUUGCAGGCUGAAACUCGCCUGCAUGAAGUUGGAGUUGCUAGUAAUCGCGGAUCAGCAUGCCGUGGUGAAUGCGUUCCCGGGUCUU